rnacentral:rRNA from 1 species
AUUGAACGCUGGCGGCAGGCCUAACACAUGCAAGUCGAACGAGUGGCGGACGGGUGUGUAAUGUCUGUGAAACUGCCCGCUGGUGGGGGAUCACUACUGGAAACGGUAGCUAAUACCGCAUACCAUCGGAUGUGCCGAGAUGGGAUUCGCUAGUGGGUGGGGUAACGGAUCACCUAGGCGACGAUCCCUAGCUGGUCUGAGAGGAUGACAAGCCAAACUGGAACUGAGACACGGCCCGGACUCCUACGGGAGGCAGGAGUGGGGAAUAGUGCACAAGGGGAGCAAGCCUGAUGCAGCCAUGCCGCGUGUAUGAAGAAGGCCUUCGGGUUGUAAAGUACUUUCAGCGGGGAGGCGGUACCCGCAGAAGAAGCACCGGCUAACUCCGUGCCAGCAGCCGCGGUAAUAC